rnacentral:rRNA from 1 species
GAUCCUGGCUCAGGAUGAACGCUGGCGGCGUGCCUAAUACAUGCAAGUAGAACGCUGAAGGAAGGAGCUUGCUCUUUCCGGAUGAGUUGCGAACGGGUGAGUAACGCGUAGGUAACCUGCCUGGUAGCGGGGGAUAACUAUUGGAAACGAUAGCUAAUACCGCAUAACAGUAGAUGUUGCAUGACAUUUACUUGAAAGGUGCAAAUGCACCACUACCAGAUGGACCUGCGUUG